GAAUUCGCCCUUAGAGUUUGAUCCUGGCUCAGGACGAACGCUGGCGGCGCGCCUAACACAUGCAAGUCGAACGAGCGAGAGAGAGCUUGCUUUCUCAAGCGAGUGGCGAACGGGUGAGUAACGCGUGAGGAACCUGCCUCAAAGAGGGGGACAACAGUUGGAAACGACUGCUAAUACCGCAUAAGCCCACGACCCGGCAUCGGGUAGAGGGAAAAGGAGCAAUCCGCUUUGAGAUGGCCUCGCGUCCGAUUAGCUAGUUGGUGAGGUAACGGCCCACCAAGGCGACGAUCGGUAGCCGGACUGAGAGGUUGAACGGCCACAUUGGGACUGAGACACGGCCCAGACUCCUACGGGAGGCAGCAGUGGGGAAUAUUGCACAAUGGGGGAAACCCUGAUGCAGCGACGCCGCGUGGAGGAAGAAGGUCUUCGGAUUGUAAACUCCUGUUGUUGAGGAAGAUAAUGACGGUACUCAACAAGGAAGUGACGGCUAACUACGUGCCAGCAGCCGCGGUAAAACGUAGGUCACAAGCGUUGUCCGGAAUUACUGGGUGUAAAGGGAGCGCAGGCGGGAAGACAAGUUGGAAGUGAAAUCCAUGGGUUCAACCCAUGAACUGCUUUCAAAACUGUUUUUCUUGAGUAGUGCAGAGGUAGGCGGAAUUCCCCGGUGUAGCGGUGGAAUGCGUAGAUAUCGGGAGGGAACACCAGUGGCGAAGGCGGCCUACUGGGCACCAACUGACGCUGAGGCUCGAAAGUGUGGGUAGCAAACAGGAUUAGAUACCCUGGUAGUCCACACUGUAAACGAUGAUUACUAGGUGUUGGAGGAUUGACCCCUUCAGUGCCGCAGUUAACACAAUAAGUAAUCCACCUGGGGAGUACGACCGCAAGGUUGAAACUCAAAGGAAUUGACGGGGGCCCGCACAAGCAGUGGAGUAUGUGGUUUAAUUCGACGCAACGCGAAGAACCUUACCAAGUCUUGACAUCCUGCGACGGUGCUGGAAACAGUACUUUCCUUCGGGACGCAGAGACAGGUGGUGCAUGGUUGUCGUCAGCUCGUGUCGUGAGAUGUUGGGUUAAGUCCCGCAACGAGCGCAACCCUUAUGGUCAGUUACUACGCAAGAGGACUCUGGCCAGACUGCCGUUGACAAAACGGAGGAAGGUGGGGAUGACGUCAAAUCAUCAUGCCCUUUAUGACUUGGGCUACACACGUACUACAAUGGCGUUAAACAAAGAGAAGCAAGACCGCGAGGUGGAGCAAAACUCAGAAACAACGUCCCAGUUCGGACUGCAGGCUGCAACUCGCCUGCACGAAGUCGGAAUUGCUAGUAAUCGCAGAUCAGCAUGCUGCGGUGAAUACGUUCCCGGGCCUUGCACACACCGCCCGUCA
rnacentral:rRNA from 1 species